rnacentral:lncRNA from 1 species
GCCGCUGCCUAGGCCGACGGCCACUGUCACGGCCACGGCGUCGGCUCGCUCGGCUGCGCGGCCCUACAACGUGCACCGGUUCCCCGGUCCUCUGCCACCGUCACUGCGUGGGGCGAACAGAGAAAACACCUUGUCCUCCGCUCAGUUAACGGCAGCUGGCGCACUCAAAGAGCCUAAAUGCCAUAUGCCCGAACAAUGCUUUAUAAUCAGCUAUCCCCCACGAUUCUGGAGGACGAAGACGACAACUCAUUUGCGGGCAAG